AGUUCUGAAGAACAAGUUUGAUGUGCAGAAGCCUUUGUCAGAGGUUCUGGAACAAGAUAGCAUGCAGAAUUUGAAGGACAAGAAUGAGGGAAGAGUAUCUACAGGAAAGAUAGCAAAAGGGAAGGAGCGGCUUGCUGCUUGCCUCGGAGUUCCUGUUCAGGAAGCUGCCCAGUUUUUGGAGAGUUUUUUGCAGAAGUACAAGAAAAUCAAGGACUUUGCCCGAGCAGCUAUUGCCCAGUGUCACCAGACAGGCUAUGUGGUGUCCAUCAUGGGCAGAAGGAGACCCCUGCCAAGGAUUCACGCUCAUGACCAGCAACUGCGGGCACAAGCAGAGCGACAGGCAGUGAACUUCGUGGUGCAAGGUACCAGAAGCCUCUUACCCUGUAGUUCUGUGUCCAUUUGCUUCUUGGGUUUUAGCAGCUGCAGGGCUGGGUGGCACCCACCGAUCACUGUUUGUGGUAUUUCCUGCUCAUCACAAACCUCCUUGCAGGAGCUUACACUACCCAUGUCCUGCCUGGCAGUUACUGUCGGGGGCGUGAGGGGACACGGUCAUCUUUGUAGCUAGGAUGAUUCCCGCAAGAGCUGGGCCCAG
rnacentral:sRNA from 1 species